AAUCAACGCUGGCGGCGUGCCUAACACAUGCAAGUCGAACGAGAAAGUGGAGCAAUCCAUGAGUACAGUGGCGCACGGGUGAGUAACACGUGACUAACCUACCCUUGAGUGGGGAAUAACUUCGGGAAACCGAGGCUAAUACCGCAUAACACCUACGGGUCAAAGGAAGCAAUUCGCUCGAGGAGGGGUCGGCGGCCGGA
rnacentral:rRNA from 1 species